GAUGAACGCUGGCGGUGUGCCUAAUACAUGCAAGUCGAGCGAACAGACGAGGAGCUUACUCCUCUGACGUUAGCGGCGGACGGGUGAGUAACACGUGGAUAACCUACCUAUAAGACUGGGAUAACUUCGGGAAACCGGAGCUAAUACCGGAUAACAUGUUGAACCGCAUGGUUCAACAGUGAAAGACGGUCUUGCUGUCACUUAUAGAUGGAUCCGCGUCGCAUUAGCUAGUUGGUAAGGUAACGGCUUACCAAGGCAACGAUGCGUAGCCGACCUGAGAGGGUGAUCGGCCACACUGGAACUGAGACACGGUCCAGACUCCUACGGGAGGCAGCAGUAGGGAAUCUGCCGCAAUGGGCGAAAGCCUGACGGAGCAACGCCGCGUGAGUGAAGAAGGUCUUCGGAUCGUAAAACCCUGUUAUUAGGGAAGAACAAAUGUGUAAGUAACUAUGCACGUCUUGACGGUAACUAAUCAGAAAGCCACGGCUAACUACGUG
rnacentral:rRNA from 1 species